ACGUAGGGUGCAAGCGUUGUCCGGAUUUAUUGGGCGUAAAGAGCUCGUAGGCGGUUUGUCACGUCGGGUGUGAAAAUCCGGGGCUUAACCCCGGACCUGCAUCCGAUACGGGCAGACUUGAGUGUGGUAGGGGAGACUGGAAUUCCUGGUGUAGCGGUGAAAUGCGCAGAUAUCAGGAGGAACACCGAUGGCGAAGGCAGGUCUCUGGGCCACAACUGACGCUGAGGAGCGAAAGCGUGGGGAGCAAACAGG
rnacentral:rRNA from 1 species